CAGGUCGAGAGGCGCUGCAACGGGUUCAGGCCCGCCACGCUCGGCCUUGAUCCUCUCUCCUUGACCUUUCCUCAAGGGCGCCUCCCAUAA
rnacentral:ncRNA from 2 species